rnacentral:rRNA from 1 species
AACGGGGGGGGGGCUAGUGUUGUUCAUCAUAACUGGGCGUAAAGGGUGCGUAGGUGGUUUUUUUAAGUAAAAAUUAAAAAAAUCUAAGCGUAACUUAGAAAUUAAUUUUUUAUACUAAAAAGACUAGAGGGCAAAAAGAAGUUUUGUUGUAUUCUUAGUGGAAAGGUGAAAUUUUAAGAUAUUAAGAGGACGUCCAAUCGGCGAAAGCAACAAACUAAAAUGUUACUGACACUGAGGCACAAAAGCGUGGGGAUCAAACAGG